AUGCAGUCGAACGCUGAAGCCUGGUGCUUGCACCGGGUGGAUGAGUGGCGAACGGGUGAGUAACACGUGAGUAACCUGCCCCUGACUUCGGGAUAAGCCCGGGAAACUGGGUCUAAUACCGGAUACGACUGCCGGACGCAUGUCUGGUGGUGGAAAGUUUUUUCGGUUGGGGAUGGGCUCGCGGCCUAUCAGUUUGUUGGUGAGGUAAUGGCUCACCAAGACGACGACGGGUAGCCGGCCUGAGAGGGCGACCGGCCACACUGGGACUGAGACACGGCCCAGACUCCUACGGGAGGCAGCAGUGGGGAAUAUUGCACAAUGGGGGAAACCCUGAUGCAGCGACGCAGCGUGCGGGAUGACGGCCUUCGGGUUGUAAACCGCUUUCAGCAGGGAAGAAGCGCAAGUGACGGUACCUGCAGAAGAAGUACCGGCUAACUACGUGCCAGCAGCCGCGGUAAUACGUAGGGUACGAGCGUUGUCCGGAAUUAUUGGGCGUAAAGAGCUCGUAGGUGGUUGGUCACGUCUGCUGUGGAAACGCAACGCUUAACGUUGCGCGUGCAGUGGGUACGGGCUGACUAGAGUGCAGUAGGGGAGUCUGGAAUUCCUGGUGUAGCGGUGAAAUGCGCAGAUAUCAGGAGGAACACCGGUGGCGAAGGCGGGACUCUGGGCUGUAACUGACACUGAGGAGCGAAAGCAUGGGGAGCGAACAGGAUUAGAUACCCUGGUAGUCCAUGCCGUAAACGUUGGGCACUAGGUGUGGGGGGCAUUCCACGUUCUCCGCGCCGUAGCUAACGCAUUAAGUGCCCCGCCUGGGGAGUACGGUCGCAAGGCUAAAACUCAAAGGAAUUGACGGGGGCCCGCACAAGCGGCGGAGCAUGCGGAUUAAUUCGAUGCAACGCGAAGAACCUUACCAAGGCUUGACAUACACCGGACCGUCCUGGAAACAGGUCCUCUUCUUUGAAGCUGGUGUACAGGUGGUGCAUGGUUGUCGUCAGCUCGUGUCCUGAGAUGUUGGGUUAAGUCCCGCAACGAGCGCAACCCUCGUUCUAUGUUGCCAGCAUGUGAUGGUGGGAACUCAUAGGAGACUGCCGGGGUCAACUCGGAGGAAGGUGGGGAUGACGUCAAAUCAUCAUGCCCUUUAUGUCUUGGGCUUCACGCAUGCUACAAUGGCUGGUACAGAGAGAGGCGAACCCGUGAGGGCAAGCGAAUCCCUUAAAGCCAGUCUCAGUUCGGAUCGUAGUCUGCAAUUCGACUACGUGAAGUCGGAGUCGCUAGUAAUCGCAGAUCAGCAACGCUGCGGUGAAUACGUUCCCGGGCCUUGUACACACCGCCCGUCAAGUCACGAAAGUCGGUAACACCCGAAGCCGGUGGCCUAACCGUAAGGAGGGGGCCGUCUAAGGUGGGACUGGUGAUUGGACUAAGUCG
rnacentral:rRNA from 1 species